UACGAAGGGGGCUAGCGUUGUUCGGAUUUACUGGGCGUAAAGCGCACGUAGGCGGCUCGUUAAGUCGGGGGUGAAAUCCUGGAGCUCAACUCCAGAACUGCCUUCGAUACUGGCGAUCUCGAGUCCGGAAGAGGUGAGCGGAACUCCUAGUGUAGAGGUGGAAUUCGUAGAUAUUAGGAAGAACACCAGUGGCGAAGGCGACUCACUGGUCCGGUACUGACGCUGAGGUGCGAAAGCGUGGGGAGCAAACAGG
rnacentral:rRNA from 1 species